rnacentral:rRNA from 1 species
AUUGAACGCUGGCGGCAUGCCUUACACAUGCAAGUCGAACGGUAACAGGUCUUCGGAUGCUGACGAGUGGCGAACGGGUGAGUAAUACAUCGGAACGUGCCCGAUCGUGGGGGAUAACGGAGCGAAAGCUUUGCUAAUACCGCAUACGAUCUACGGAUGAAAGCAGGGGACCGCAAGGCCUUGCGCGGACGGAGCGGCCGAUGGCAGAUUAGGUAGUUGGUGGGAUAAAAGCUUACCAAGCCGACGAUCUGUAGCUGGUCUGAGAGGACGACCAGCCACACUGGGACUGAGACACGGCCCAGACUCCUACGGGAGGCAGCAGUGGGGAAUUUUGGACAAUGGGCGCAAGCCUGAUCCAGCCAUGCCGCGUGCAGGAUGAAGGCCUGGUUGUAACUAGCUUUGUACGACGAAAGAACUCUUCUAAUAAAGAGGUACCGACUGACGGUACCGGUAACGAAUAAGACACCGGCGUAACUAACGUGCCAGCAGCCGCGGU